rnacentral:rRNA from 1 species
GACGAACGCUGGCGGCGUGCCUAAUACAUGCAAGUCGAACGAACUCUGGUAUUGAUUGGUGCUUGCAUCAUGAUUUACAUUUGAGUGAGUGGCGAACUGGUGAGUAACACGUGGGAAACCUGCCCAGAAGCGGGGGAUAACACCUGGAAACAGAUGCUAAUACCGCAUAACAACUUGGACCGCAUGGUCUGAGUUUGAAAGAUGGCUUCGGCUAUCACUUUUGGAUGGUCCCGCGGCGUAUUAGCUAGAUGGUGGGGUAACGGCUCACCAUGGCAAUGAUACGUAGCCGACCUGAGAGGGUAAUCGGCCACAUUGGGACUGAGACACAGCCCAAACUCCUACGGGAGGCAGCAGUAGGGAAUCUUCCACAAUGGACGAAAGUCUGAUGGAGCAACGCCGCGUGAGUGAAGAAGGGUUUCGGCUCGUAAAACUCUGUUGUUAAAGAAGAACAUAUCUGAGAGUAACUGUUCAGGUAUUGACGGUAUUUAACCAGAAAGCCACGGCUAACUACGUGCCAGCAGCCGCGGUAAUACGUAGGUGGCAAGCGUUGUCCGGAUUUAUUGGGCGUAAAGCGAGCGCAGGCGGUUUUUUAAGUCUGAUGUGAAAGCCUUCGGCUCAACCGAAGAAGUGCAUCGGAAACUGGGAAACUUGAGUGCAGAAGAGGACAGUGGAACUCCAUGUGUAGCGGUGAAAUGCGUAGAUAUAUGGAAGAACACCAGUGGCGAAGGCGGCUGUCUGGUCUGUAACUGACGCUGAGGCUCGAAAGUAUGGGUAGCAAACAGGAUUAGAUACCCUGGUAGUCCAUACCGUAAACGAUGAAUGCUAAGUGUUGGAGGGUUUCCGCCCUUCAGUGCUGCAGCUAACGCAUUAAGCAUUCCGCCUGGGGAGUACGGGCCGCAAGGCUGAAACUCAAAGGAAUUGACGGGGGCCCGCACAAGCGGUGGAGCAUGUGGUUUAAUUCGAAGCUACGCGAAGAACCUUACCAGGUCUUGACAUACUAUGCAAAUCUAAGAGAUUAGACGUUCCCUUCGGGGACAUGGAUACAGGUGGUGCAUGGUUGUCGUCAGCUCGUGUCGUGAGAUGUUGGGUUAAGUCCCGCAACGAGCGCAACCCUUAUUAUCAGUUGCCAGCAUUAAGUUGGGCACUCUGGUGAGACUGCCGGUGACAAACCGGAGGAAGGUGGGGAUGACGUCAAAUCAUCAUGCCCCUUAUGACCUGGGCUACACACGUGCUACAAUGGAUGGUACAACGAGUUGCGAACUCGCGAGAGUAAGCUAAUCUCUUAAAGCCAUUCUCAGUUCGGAUUGUAGGCUGCAACUCGCCUACAUGAAGUCGGAAUCGCUAGUAAUCGCGGAUCAGCAUGCCGCGGUGAAUACGUUCCCGGGCCUUGUACACACCGCCCGUCACACCAUGAGAGUUUGUAACACCCAAAGUCGGUGGGGUAACCUUUUAGGAACCAGCCGCCUAAGGUGGGACAGAUGAUUAGGGUG